AGGGCGCCGGGCAGGGCCGGCGGGCCACGUGACAAGCCCGGAAACAGCUUCGCCCCCUCGCUUCCUGAGCCGCCACAUCCCGGCAGCCCUCCUACCUGCGCACGUGGUGCCGCCGCUGCUGCCUCCCGCUCGCCCUGAACCCAGUGCCUGCAGCCAUGGCUCCCGGCCAGCUCGCCUUAUUUAGUGUCUCUGACAAAACUGGCCUUGUGGAAUUUGCAAGAAACCUGACCGCUCUUGGUUUGAAUCUGGUCGCUUCCGGAGGGACUGCAAAAGCUCUCAGGGAUGCUGGUCUGGCAGUCAGAGAUGUCUCUGAGUUGACGGGAUUUCCUGAAAUGUUGGGGGGACGUGUGAAAACUUUGCAUCCUGCAGUCCAUGCUGGAAUCCUAGCUCGUAAUAUUCCAGAAGAUAAUGCUGACAUGGCCAGACUUGAUUUCAAUCUUAUAAGAGUUGUUGCCUGCAAUCUCUAUCCCUUUGUGAAGACAGUGGCUUCUCCAGGUGUAACUGUUGAGGAGGCUGUGGAGCAAAUUGACAUUGGUGGAGUAACCUUACUGAGAGCUGCAGCCAAAAACCACGCUCGAGUGACAGUGGUGUGUGAACCAGAGGACUAUGUGGUGGUGUCCACGGAGAUGCAGAGCUCCGAGAGUAAGGACACCUCCUUGGAGACUAGACGCCAGUUAGCCUUAAAGGCAUUCACUCAUACGGCACAAUAUGAUGAAGCAAUUUCAGAUUAUUUCAGGAAACAGUACAGCAAAGGCGUAUCUCAGAUGCCCUUGAGGUAUGGAAUGAACCCUCAUCAGACCCCUGCCCAGCUGUACACACUGCAGCCCAAGCUUCCCAUCACAGUUCUAAAUGGAGCCCCUGGAUUUAUAAACUUGUGUGAUGCUUUGAAUGCCUGGCAGCUGGUGAAGGAACUCAAGGAGGCUUUAGGUAUUCCAGCCGCUGCCUCUUUCAAACAUGUCAGCCCAGCAGGUGCUGCUGUUGGAAUUCCACUCAGUGAAGAUGAGGCCAAAGUCUGCAUGGUUUAUGAUCUCUAUAAAACCCUCACACCCAUCUCAGCGGCAUAUGCAAGAGCAAGAGGGGCUGAUAGGAUGUCUUCAUUUGGUGAUUUUGUUGCAUUGUCCGAUGUUUGUGAUGUACCAACUGCAAAAAUUAUUUCCAGAGAAGUAUCUGAUGGUAUAAUUGCCCCAGGAUAUGAAGAAGAAGCCUUGACAAUACUUUCCAAAAAGAAAAAUGGAAACUAUUGUGUCCUUCAGAUGGACCAGUCUUACAAACCAGAUGAAAAUGAAGUUCGAACUCUCUUUGGUCUUCAUUUAAGCCAGAAGAGAAAUAAUGGUGUUGUCGACAAGUCAUUAUUUAGCAAUGUUGUUACCAAAAAUAAAGAUCUGCCAGAGUCUGCCCUCCGAGACCUCAUCGUAGCCACCAUUGCUGUCAAGUACACUCAGUCUAACUCUGUGUGCUACGCCAAGAACGGGCAGGUUAUCGGCAUUGGAGCAGGACAGCAGUCUCGUAUACACUGCACUCGCCUUGCAGGAGAUAAGGCAAACUAUUGGUGGCUUAGACACCAUCCACAAGUGCUUUCGAUGAAGUUUAAAACAGGAGUGAAGAGAGCAGAAAUCUCCAAUGCCAUCGAUCAAUAUGUGACUGGAACCAUUGGCGAGGAUGAAGAUUUGAUAAAGUGGAAGGCACUGUUUGAGGAAGUCCCUGAGUUACUCACUGAGGCAGAGAAGAAGGAAUGGGUUGAGAAACUGACUGAAGUUUCUAUCAGCUCUGAUGCCUUCUUCCCUUUCCGAGAUAACGUAGACAGAGCUAAAAGGAGACGGGUCUCGCUAUGUUACCCAGACUGGCCUUGAACUCCCGAGCUCAAGCAACCCUCCCACCUCGGCGCCUCAAAGUACUGGGAUUACAGAUAUCAAGGCUUUAAGCAAGAUUCAGAUGAAGGGCCUGCUUUACCAGCUCACCUAUGAAUAUGGAAGCAUCAGCUUACUUUUUGCAGCACAUGUGUCUCAGGGGGUUGUCCCUUCCCACAGUGUGUAGAUUGGCAUCGAGAUGACGUUCUCUCUCCAGGGUGCAGUGAUGACCGACAUAUGUGAGACAGUCAUUUAAUAUCACCUUUAUUUUGUACUUUCUGUGAUUUUUAAAACACAUACAGAGCAGCUCUGUUUAGCAGCAGGGCUGAUAAAGCUUAAAGAUCAGUAAUAAAUAGAAGUCCAGGGGCUGGGUCUGUAUUUCGCUAAGGAAACCUCAUCUGAGCUUCAUGCCCUGUAAAAUUAAGCUCUAAAACCUCCCCUAAAUGAGAUAGCUAAAUGUCAAAGCAUUUUAUACACUGUAAAUCAAUUCAAAUGGGAGUAUUUUUUUUUUCAAAUGAAGAUGGGGAAGUAUCUUUCUGUAUUUAUUUUUAAUAUUCUUUGCCAGGUAUUUAUUGAAAUACCUUCUUUCAUUGUACAAUAGUAUAUUUAAAAAGUGCUUUGCAUGUCUUAUUAUGAACUACUAAUUUUUUACUAAUAAUUACUUGCAUUUCCACUAUUUACUAUUCUGAAUGUCACAUUUAUUUAUUUAUUUAUGGUUUUUGAGAUGGAGUCUUGCUCUGUCCCCCAUGCUGGAGUUCAGUGGCACAAUCUCAGCUCACUGCAACCUCCGCCUUCUAGGUUCAAGCCAUUCUCCUACCUCAGCCUUCUGAGUAGCUGGGACCAAAGGCGCCCACCGCCAUGCCUGGUAACAUUUGUAUUUUUAAUAGAGACAGGGUUUCGCCAUGUUGGCCAGGCUGGUCUCAAACUCCUGACCUCAGGUGAUCCAUCUGCCUCAGCCUCCCAAAGUGCUGGGAUUAGAGGUGUGAGCCACUGCACCUGGCCUGAAUGUCAAAUUUAAUCCCAAAGUUUGUUUCCUCAAUGUUAAAUUGAAAAAGAAAUGACCUUUACAGAUCAGGAGUAAACAAACUGUUUAGCUGGGAGUUUAUCAAGCCAUGCCAAAAGUGUCAGCUGACCCAAAGUAAGACAUGUUAGAUGGGGGUUAUCAUACCAUGGGGUUUCCCUAAGAUAAAACUCCUCCAUAUUAUACUAUUCAAAUACUUUUAAUAUCUUAGUCAUUUUUAUUUCCCUUGCAGGCAAUCUCUUUGAACAGAGGUUUAUUCAAUAAAGGAAGGAAAGGUGGAGGGAGGAAGGCAAGAAUUACAAUGGUUAGAAAAGAGCAACUAAAGAUUAUUUCUAUUAUACUUCUGAAGGGUAAACUAGCAAUUUUAAUAAAUAUUUGGGUCCACUUAAAUCUAUUAAAGCAGAAAGUGUAAAGCUAUCUCCAUUAGUGAAGAGAUGAAGUGACAAAAACCAAUCAGUUUUUGUAGCAACUGACUUAGAAAAUCUUGUACUGAAAUCAACAAUUAGAGAGACUUGCACAUCAUAGAUUUUCAAAUGUUUGCUGAAUUGAAAAAGAACAUUCACAGGAAUUAUUUCCCCCGAAGGUGUCUUAUAUCAAAUAGAUGAACUUCAAGUUGUGGAAUGUAAAUCUUUUAUUAAAACAGUUGUCUUUCCACAGUAGUAAAGCUUUGGCACAUACAGUAUAAAAAAUAA